rfam:Schistosoma rodhaini strain Burundi genome assembly, scaffold: SROB_scaffold0005887
AUCCAGCUGACGAGUCCCAAAUAGGAUGAACGCGCAUCCUCGAU